AUUGAACGCUGGCGGCAGGCCUAACACAUGCAAGUCGAGCGGAAACGAGUUAUCUGAACCUUCGGGGAACGAUAACGACGUCGAGCGGCGGACGGGUGAGUAAUGCCUAGGAAAUUGCCCUGAUGUGGGGGAUAACCAUUGGAAACGAUGGCUAAUACCGCAUGAUGCCUACGGGCCAAAGAGGGGGACCUUCGGGCCUCUCGCGUCAGGAUAUGCCUAGGUGGGAUUAGCUAGUUGGUGAGGUAAGGGCUCACCAAGGCGACGAUCCCUAGCUGGUCUGAGAGGAUGAUCAGCCACACUGGAACUGAGACACGGUCCAGACUCCUACGGGAGGCAGCAGUGGGGAAUAUUGCACAAUGGGCGCAAGCCUGAUGCAGCCAUGCCGCGUGUAUGAAGAAGGCCUUCGGGUUGUAAAGUACUUUCAGUCGUGAGGAAGGCGGCGUCGUUAAUAGCGGCGUUGUUUGACGUUAGCGACAGAAGAAGCACCGGCUAACUCCGUGCCAGCAGCCGCGGUAAUACGGAGGGUGCGAGCGUUAAUCGGAAUUACUGGGCGUAAAGCGCAUGCAGGUGGUUUGUUAAGUCAGAUGUGAAAGCCCGGGGCUCAACCUCGGAAUAGCAUUUGAAACUGGCAGACUAGAGUACUGUAGAGGGGGGUAGAAUUUCAGGUGUAGCGGUGAAAUGCGUAGAGAUCUGAAGGAAUACCGGUGGCGAAGGCGGCCCCCUGGACAGAUACUGACACUCAGAUGCGAAAGCGUGGGGAGCAAACAGG
rnacentral:rRNA from 1 species